ACUGAAAGAUUAAAAUUUUUUUGUACUUGUUAAGUAAAACCAAGCCUGACUGUCAAAUUUGAGUGCAAACGGACAUUCAGAAGGGCUCCGACGAAAAACGUCAGUUUGUAAGCUGCUAAUCUGCUAAUGUGAAUAGUGUAAUGUUGAGGGGGUUUUGUAUAAAAGGUGGUCUUCUUCUUCUUCUCCCUCAACCGAGCCACACCACCAGCCCACACACGUUUGGAGAGGGCGAGAGAGAAACCCUCCCUUUCUCUCUCUAAAUAUCUCUAUCAUCUCUCUAGAUCUCUCUCUACAAAUUUGAGGGUUGGUGGAAAGCAAGCUUGGGAACGCGUUGGGAGCGUCGGAUCGGGCCUUCGUGCGCCCGGUUGAGCGGCGUGCCUCCGUCUUGACGUUUACGUUUUGGUUCACACGUGAGCGGCGCGGCGGAGCGAGGUGAGGGCGUAGCUCCGUAGUUAGCGCCCUACCACCGAGACCGGAGAUAGCGAUACCCUAAGUCGGCUUAGCUUAGGGGUUUAGUAAUGGAAAGAACAAUGUUGUAAUAAUUAUGUUGGAAACUUGAUUGUAUUUGAAAGUAAGAAUCAAAGAAUUAAAAAGGAAUGGCAAUAUGUGAUGUAAUAAGUAAUAUGUUAGUUGAAUACAUGUAAUAACUUAGUUGUUUAUGUUUUCGAUA